GUCUAUAGCCAUGCCAGCCUGAACGCUCCAGAUCUCACCUGAUCUCAAAAGCUAAGCAGAGCUGGGUGUGGUAGCUCAUGCCUAUAAUUC
rnacentral:rRNA from 1 species